GGGCAUGUGGCGGAAUUGGUAGACGCGCUGGAUUUAGGAUCCAGUUCCUUUGGAGUGCGGGUUCGAGUCCCGCCUUGCCCACCA
rnacentral:tRNA from 1 species